rnacentral:rRNA from 1 species
UGAGUAACCUGCCCUUGACUCUGGGAUAAGCCUGGGAAACCGGGUCUAAUACCGGAUAUGACCUUCUGCCGCAUGGCGGGGGGUGGAAAGCUUUAGCGGUUUUGGAUGGACUCGCGGCCUAUCAGCUUGUUGGUGAGGUAAUGGCUCACCAAGGCGACGACGGGUANCUGGUCUGAGAGGAUGGCCAGCCACAUUGGGACUGAGACACGGCCCAGCUCCUACGGGNGCAG